AGUAACGCGUGAGGAACCUGCCUUUCAGAGGGGGACAACAGUUGGAAACGACUGCUAAUACCGCAUGACACAUAGAGAUCGCAUGGUUUUUAUGUCAAAGAUUUAUCGCUGAAAGAUGGCCUCGCGUCUGAUUAGCUAGUUGGUGAGGUAACGGCCCACCAAGGCGACGAUCGGUAGCCGGACUGGGAGGUUGAACGGCCACAUUGGGACUGAGACACGGCCCAG
rnacentral:rRNA from 1 species